rnacentral:rRNA from 1 species
GUCUCUUCACUGUGACGGCCGCACUCGACUUCACAUCCCGCAUCACAGCACAAACAACGGCGGGGAGGGCGACACGAUGGCGGCCUGCCUCCGCUGCCGCCGCCGCCUCCCCCUCUCCCCUCCGGCGGCGCCGCUGGAAGACGACGGCCUGCUCUCUGAGAACCUCCUCCGCCUCCCCCCGCAGCCCUCCUCCCUCCCGCGCGCCUCCGCCGUCUGCAGCCGCCUCCUCUCCGACCCCGCCUUCCGCCGCCGCUUCCGCAUCCACCACCGCGGCAGCGCUCUCCUCCUCGGCUCCUUCAUCCAUUACCCCGGAAUCACCUUCCAGCCAGCGCCCGACGCCCCCGACCGCCUCCCCCUCGAGCAAUUCCGCCUGAAGCUCGACGACCACUACAUCGCCCUCGGAUGCCGCCAUGGCCUCGCGCUCUUCUUCCUCCCGAUCCGGCUCCAGGUGCUCGUGUGGGACCCCCUCGCCGGCCACCAGCUCCGCCUGGCCGUUCCCCCGGAUUUCGAGUUCCAGGGGGCCAAGGGUGAUAUCAGCGGGGCGGUGCUUCGCGCCGCCGGAGACGUCGACCACUUCCGGGUGGUCCUGGUAGGCUGCGACGGGGAGCAGCCUAGAACCGCGCUCGCCUGCGUUUACUCGUCGGAGACCGGCGUAUGGGGUGGUUGCGUCUCAACGCCGAUUCCAUCCGAGGGUUUGUUCAUUUUCAGGGGCGAGCCCGCUAUGUUGGCAGGGGAUCGCCUUCACUGGUCUGUUACCGUGGCAGGAUCAAGAGGUAUCCUGAAGUUUGAUUUGGAUAGGCAGAGCCUAGAUCUGAGUUUGCUGCCAGGGGAUUAUUACACCCCGCUCAGUCCCGAAUUCACUGUUGUGCGAGCAGAGGGUGGCCGGAUGGGUUUCCUGUUCUUACACCGAUUUAUCGCCGAAUUGUGGAGUACGAAGCGCAAUCGUGACGGUGUCGAAAUAUGGACGCCAGGAAGAAGUAUUGAACUGGACAAGUUACUUGGGCUAAAUUCAGAGAAAGAGCCCCCACAGAUGAUAGGGUAUGCGGAGGAAAACAAUGCGGUGUUCUUCAGGGCAGCUGACGCUGACUACAUGGUCCAUCUUGAGUCAUUGCAGUUCAACAAACUCCCCAAGACAACCGUCGGUUCUUACUAUCAUCCAUUCGAAACUGUCCAUACUCCAGGUCAGCGGCAUGAGGCUUGGAGUGUGCUUCUAUAACCACUUUGUACAGGACUUGUGAAGACUCAUUUGUAGGUGCUCUCGCCAUGCGCCUUGGUUGUGUUACUAAAUAUAAUAUGGUUGUCAAGACAUAUUUGUGUACCUAUGAAAGUGAUGGAUGUAAUAUUAUGCAAAGAUGUGUGUUCUUAUGGCCCUGCUCAUCAGAUUUUCCAUAUGUAUGUAAGUUUUUUUUUGGCAUUUAUAUAUGUAUAUAAGGUUUGGUUGAACUGUGAAUGUGUGCGCAAAUAUCUAUAGGAAUAUGGUGAUUAGCAGUAAGCAAGGAGCAAGUUGCUUUACAUGUUGCCAAAGAUCAAGAGCGGAAGCGAUGCUGCUGGAAAAAGAAAAUGCAAAUGUUGAGGCCGUGUGGCCAGAAGAGUGAGAAUUGAUCUCCUUAACAGCAUGGGUUUGUUUGUAUCUACUUGUAGCGUUUUUUUUCCUACAAAACUGCUGGUUGCAUGCAAUGUUUUAGAAAAGUGGUCAUGUAAAUUACAAAUUAUUUUUAACUAUAGCAAUGACUUGUGAUUAAAUUCUGUUUUUAUUGAUACUGCAAUAUUUUUUUC